rnacentral:rRNA from 1 species
CCUACGGGAGGCAGCAGUGGGGGAUAUUGCACAAUGGGGGGAACCCUGAUGCAGCGACGCCGCGUGGGUGAAGAAGCGCCUCGGCGCGUAAAGCCCUGUCAGCAGGGAAGAAAAUGACGGUACCUGAAGAAGAAGCCCCGGCUAACUACGUGCCAGCAGCCGCGGUAAUACGUAGGGGGCAAGCGUUAUCCGGAUUUACUGGGUUGAAAGGGGGCGCAGACGGCGAUGCAAGCCAGGAGUGAAAGCCCGGGGCCCAACCCCGGGACUGCUCUUGGAACUGCGUGGCUGGAGUGCAGGAGGGGCAGGCGGAAUUCCUGGUGUAGCGGUGAAAUGCGUAGAUAUCAGGAGGAACACCGGUGGCGAAGGCGGCCUGCUGGACUGCAACUGACGUUGAGGCCCGAAAGCGUGGGGAGCAAACAGGAUUAGAUACCCCAGUAGUC